GAUCAGGAUUCGUCUGAGUGAAGGUGAGGAAAGUGGCGGACGGGUGAGUAACGCGUGAGCAAUCUGCCUUGGAGUGGGGAAUAACGGCUGGAAACAGCCGCUAAUACCGCAUGAUGUGUCUGUCUCGCAUGGGGUGGACACCAAAGAUUUAUCGCUCCGAGAUGAGCUCGCGUCUGAUUAGCUAGUUGGCGGGGUAACGGCCCACCAAGGCGACGAUCAGUAGCCGGACUGAGAGGUUGGCCGGCCACAUUGGGACUGAGACACGGCCCAGACUCCUACGGGAGGCAGCAGUGGGGAAUAUUGGGCAAUGGGCGCAAGCCUGACCCAGCAACGCCGCGUGAAGGAAGAAGGCUUUCGGGUUGUAAACUUCUUUUCUGAGGGACGAAGAAGGUGACGGUACCUCAGGAAUAAGCCACGGCUAACUACGUGCCAGCAGCCGCGGUAAUACGUAGGUGGCAAGCGUUAUCCGGAUUUAUUGGGUGUAAAGGGCGUGUAGGCGGGAAUGCAAGUCAGAUGUGAAAACUAUGGGCUCAACCCAUAGCCUGCAUUUGAAACUGUA
rnacentral:rRNA from 1 species